AAUUCCAUCAGCAAUAUGCACCUGCAAUUUCACAUGAGAAUGUAAACAAAAUACAAGUAGGAAGGAUUUCAGAACUCUAGAUAAUGCCAUCUGGGCAUCGCCUUCUAUAGUUUUGGCUAAAACUAAGACAUCCACAAAAUGCUGUUCUGGUCUCUUGGGUAUCAAGAAGAUCAACAAUCACGUAUUGUCACAUUUCUUCACUACUAGACUUAAGAGUACUA
rnacentral:misc_RNA from 1 species